GUAGCAAUACCCACCGGCGAACGGGUUGCGUAACACGUGAGCAACAUUCCGAUUUCUGGGGGAUAGCCGGCCCAACGGCCGGGUAAUACCGCAUACGCUCAUUGAGAGGAGUCUCUCGAUGAGGAAACCUCCGGGGGAAAUCGAGUGGCUCGCGGCCUAUCAGCUAGUUGGCGGGGUAAUGGCCCACCAAGGCAAUGACGGGUAGCUGGUCUGAGAGGAUGGCCAGCCACAUUGGGACUGAGAAACGGCCCAGACUCCUACGGGAGGCAGCAGUGGGGAAUCUUGCGCAAUGGACGAAAGUCUGACGCAGCGACGCCGCGUGAGGGAGGAAGCUCUUCGGGGUGUAAACCUCUGUUGCCGGGAACGAAACUCUGGAUUCGUCCAGAUUGACGGUACUCGGUGAGGAAGCGCCGGCUAACUCUGUGCCAGCAGCCGCGGUAAUACAGAGGGCGCGAGCGUUGUCCGGAAUCACUGGGCGUAAAGGGCGCGUAGGUGGCCACUAUAAGGCCGCGGUGAAAGUUCGGGGCUCAACCCUGAAUCUGCCGCGGCGACUGUAGGGCUUGGGCACUGUAGAGGCAGAUGGAAUUCCGGGUGUAGCGGUGGAAUGCGUAGAGAUCCGGAAGAACACCGGUGGCGAAGGCGGUCUGCUGGGCAGUGGGAGCGCAAGCUCCUCUUAGCCGACACUGAGGCGCGACAGCGUGGGGAGCAAACAGGAUUAGAUACCCUGGUAGUCCACGCCGUAAACGAUGGGCACUAGGUGCUUUGGGGAGCGACCCUCAGGGUACCGGCGCUAACGCAUGAAGUGCCCCGCCUGGGGAGUACGGCCGCAAGGCUGAAACUCAAAGGAAUUGACGGGGGCCCGCACAAGCGGUGGAGCAUGUGGUUUAAUUCGACGCACC
rnacentral:rRNA from 1 species